GCUGGUGUGGUGGAAUGGUAUACACGCGCGCCUUAAGAGCGUGUGGGCUACGCCUAUGAGGGUUCGACUCCCUCCACCAGCA
rnacentral:tRNA from 1 species